GAUCCUGGAUUUCUUUCAGAUGAUUUUAGUAUAUUACCACUCAUAAGCGAUCUGUGCUCACUGCAGUCUCUGCCUCCCAGGUUCAAGCGAUUCUCCUGCCUCAGCCUCCCCAGUAGCUGGGAUUACAGGCAUGCACCACCACAGCCAGCUAAUUUUAUCAGGUCUGGCCAUAAAGGCAGGAUUCAGGACAAACUGCAUUGUGUAGCUUGCCUGAUGUUUUUAUAUGGAUGAAAUCAGAUUAGAAUUAAGACAAACAGCAAACUAGAAAUAGGAAAGAAAUAGUAAAACUAUGUAACGUACAGCCUAGAGAGUAUGU
rnacentral:lncRNA from 10 species